UGAGACUCAUCAUGUUACAGCUGAUCGAACAACUUCCGGUCUGCAUCCAUAAAGUCAUCAACAAGUUCACCCAGAAGAAGAAGAACUGCUCCUUCAUAUUCAAAAAUAACUCUCAGCUUCAGGAGCCGCAUUAACACCCUCCAGGUACCGCAGCGCCCAAUGAGAUCCACGCAAACGACCCUCAUCUAAACCUGCAGCAGCAGCGUGUUCCUGCUAUCCUCCCUCCAUCACGCCGGGAUGCGUUUGGAGGUUACAUAAGAUCCUUACAAACAAUUACCCCGAGUCAAUCUCACCCUGCGAGAGGGAGGAGGAGGAGAGAGAGGGAGGAGGAGAGAGAGAGAGGGAGGAGGAAUAUGAAAAAUCAACACGAG